rnacentral:lncRNA from 1 species
UAUCGCACGUUGUUUCCUCGAAAUUCUGAUUCUUUAUUUCGAUAUGUGUUUAAUAAUUUUGCUAGACCAUGAUUAUUAUUGUAUUUGUUGAAUAUGAUUUGGGAUGAGGCUUUAGUAGAACAUGCCACCUGGUGGGUUGCAUCAGGACCGCGUGCGCACCGGUAAUGAUUAAAGACAGGUAAUAAGGUUAUUAUGGAUUUGUUUGCCCUGAUCGAGCAUUGCUCUCUGGGCUGAGUUCAGUUGAUUGCCGAAGUUAAGAUCCCUGAUCGAGCAACGCUCUCUGGGCGCUGGCUUAGUUGGGAUUUAAGUGUUCAGGCCGGAGUUAAGGUUCCUGAUCGAGCAACGCUCUCUGGGCGCUGGCUUAAUUGGAAUUCAAGUGUUCAGGCUGGAGGUAAGGACCCUGAUCGAGCUUGCUCUCUAG